AAAACCUCCCAUUUAAUGUUCGGUAUUUCAAUAUCCCUUGCAUCUUUUUCCUGCAACAUAGACCACAAGGAAUUUAAAAAAGGAUCAUCAUUUAGAAAAAAAAUAGAUGAGCUUAGAUACAUUCAGAAUCAUCAGAAAUAAUGGACUUUAUCUCAGAUCAGCUGCAAGA